GCUUCGGCUGGCGAGUACACCGGCGGACGGGUGAGUAACGCGUGAGGAACCUGCCCCACAGACCGGGAUAACCCAUCGAAAGGUGGGCUAAUACUGGAUAAGCGCACGCGACGGGUGUUGUGUGUGAAAAGGCAGGUCACAAUUUUGUGGCUUGUGCUGUGGGAUGGUCUCGCGUCCCAUUAGCUAGUUGGUGAGGUAACGGCUCACCAAGGCUACGAUGGGUAGCCGGCCUGAGAGGGUGGUCGGCCACACUGGGACUGAGACACGGCCCAGACUCCUACGGGAGGCAGCAGUGGGGAAUAUUGCGCAAUGCCGGAAACGGUGACGCAGCGACGCCGCGUGGGUGAGGAAGGCCUUCGGGUCGUAAAGCCCUUUCAGUGGGGAAGAAAGGCAUAGGCAGUAACUGGUCUAUGUUUGACGGUACCCACAGAAGAAGCCCCGGCUAACUCCGUGCCAGCAGCCGCGGUAAUACGGAGGGGGCGAGCGUUGUUCGGAGUCACUGGGCGUAAAGCGCACGUAGGCGGCGUGGUGAGUCAAGGGUCAAAGGCUACGGCUCAACCGUAGUAAGGCCUUUGAUACUAUCAUGCUAGAGUGCCGGAGAGGGUAGCGGAAUUCCCUGUGUAGCGGUGAAAUGCGUAGAUAUAGGGAGGAACACCGGUUGCGAAGGCGGCUACCUGGCCGGUAACUGACGCUGAGGUGCGAGAGCGUGGGGAGCGAACAGGAUUAGAUACCCUGGUAGUCCACGCUGUAAACGAUGGGCGCUAGGUGUUGGUGGUUAGUAGCCAUCAGUGCCGAAGCUAACGCGUUAAGCGCCCCGCCUGGGGAGUACGGCCGCAAGGCUGAAACUCAAAGGAAUUGACGGGGG
rnacentral:rRNA from 1 species